rnacentral:lncRNA from 1 species
UGUGAUUGUUAGGUAUAGAUAUUCUUUCUUUGGGUGGUGAUGAAAAACGAAACACAUGUUCUUUGUUUGGUUGGUGAUGAAAAACGAAACAAAUGUGUUGACAUAAGAUUGAAAAACAUCACAUGAUCAAUUAGAAAUAACAAAACAUAGUACUUAUAAAACAUCACAUGAUCAAUUUAUAAGUCUCCUUGUUCAUUGCAACAAAUACAUUAUCCAAAAUACAUGAUCAAUUUAUACGUCGUACGAAACACCACUUAUCCAAAACACCAAGCUACUUAGUUCACUCUCCUCUUAGUUCAAACCUACUUAAACAUUACAAACACAGCCAUUACCAUUACUACAAGAACCAGACCACCUAGUACGACUUCAAACCGAUUACCAAACGGAGAAAUUUUCUUUGAUAACUCAGCGAGAGUCUUCUCAAGCACAACCAACUUCAGUUCAGUCUCAUGAUGGAGAUCUUUUACCUGGUUUAGUUCUGACUCGUAGUCACUAACAGCCGCAAUAUAGUCCAAUAUCGCCAGCUUCGACAGUUUCUCCUUCCUCGCCAGUUCUUCCAUCUUGCCCUCCACAAUGGUCUUAUAGUACUUAAUAACUCCAAAACCAACUAACCAUUAUCUAUCUAUGUCUAAUCAGAA